AGGAAGGUAGUGUAGUUAACACCUGCAUUAUUUGACGUUACCUACAGAAGAAGCACCGGCUAACUCCGUGCCAGCAGCCGCGGUAAUACGGAGGGUGCGAGCGUUAAUCGGAAUUACUGGGCGUAAAGCGCAUGCAGGCGGCCUGUUAAGUCAGAUGUGAAAGCCCGGGGCGUUAACCUCGGAAUUGCAUUUGAAACUAGGCAGGCUAGAGUCUUGUAGAGGGGGGUAGGAAUUUCAGGUGUAGCGGUGAAAUAGCGUAGAGAUCUGAAGGAAUACCAGUGGCGAAGGCGGCCCCCUCGGACAAAGACUGACGCUCAGAUGCGAAAGCGUGGGGAGCAAACAGGAUUAGAUACCCUGGUAG
rnacentral:rRNA from 1 species